CUGGCUGUUGGGUUGGAAAGGAGGGUUAGACAGCCAAGGGCCUGUCCUGUUCAGGGCCAGGAGCCAAAAAGGACAAAGUGCAAAAUAGCAGCUGGGGAGAGGAGAGGACAGAGAUCAAAAGAACUGUGACACACACCUACAUAAAAACAUUUCAGCAGCUCUGUCUCAGCAGGACUCAUCGACUGAAACAGUGCCUCUCAGCCCUGUCGACCGCUGACUGAGCCCAAGGCUAGAAGACUGCGAUUGUCCACGUGAGUCCCAGUAGACAGUCCUGAGUGUUGUGGUGUGGACCUGUGGCAACCAUGAGCUCCGCAGAGCCACGUAAGGGACUGUGGCACCGAAACGUCAAGGCCCCUCAGUCAGAUGAGCUCUCCGGUCAUGCUGGUGACCAUAACAGUGAACAGGAAGAAGAUAUAAGACAGUGGCAGAAACAUGCACAGAGGGUGAAGGUGAAGGUCCUGGAGCAGGUCCAGGAUCAGCUCAGUGAUAUACUGGACAAAGCCCUGAUUGAGUCCGUCCAGCCUUUUACUCAAAUCCAGCUCACAGUUAAUGGAAAGACGCCCAAAAAACCCUCAUCCAGAUCUCAGAGAAUGGAUGACGGCAAAGUUUUCAUAGCUAGACCAUCACUGUUGGAUGAACUGUUUGAGAUCAGCCACAUCAGGACCAUCUACCACAUGUUCAUAGCCAUACUGCUCAUCUUCUUUCUGAGCACGCUAACUGUGGACUACAUCGACCAGGGCAGGUUGGUCUUGGAGUUCGACCUAUUGUUCUUCGCCUUUGGGAAGCUGGGGACGGUGGCCUGGGCCUGGACUGUCAUGUUUGCCUACACUCUGCUCGUUCCCUACUACACUGUGAUGUUCUGGGGAUCUUUGUACCACAGCUUUCCUUCUAAACUGGGGCUGUCUCUCGGCACAGGCCUGGUCCUGGCUGCAGUGCAGACCUACGUAUUGGGUCAGUUCCCAAUCAAUGUGGUUGUACGCUACGAACUGCCAGCGGCCUCACGGUUCAUUGUGAUACUGGAGCAGAUUCGAUUCUUUAUGAAGAGCUACUCAUUCAUCAGAGAAACUGUUCCAGUUGUUAUGAAGAAUACACCAAAGGAAGGAGAAAGUCCCAGAUUCCCAACAAUGUCCAGCUAUCUGUACUUUCUCUUCUGCCCAACACUCAUCUACAGAGAAUCAUAUCCUCGGAAUUCCCACAUAAGGUGGAAGUAUGUUGGCGUCACACUCGGUAUGAUCUUGGGAUGCCUGUUUUAUGGCUACUUCAUCCUGGUCCGCCUUUGUGUGCCUGUCUUCAGACCGGAGGCCAACCAGCCUAUUACGAAACGAGCAAUGGUUCUGGCUGUGUUCAACUCAAUAUUACCAGGUAUAAUGCUCCUUCUGCUGUGUUUUUUUGCCUUCCUGCACUGCUGGCUCAACCUCUUCGGGGAGCUGCUGUGUUUUGCUGACAGAAUGUUUUACAAGGACUGGUGGAACUCUACAUCUUUCACCAAUUAUUACCGUACCUGGAACGUGGUGGUUCAUGACUGGCUCUAUUGCUACGGAUACAGAGACUUUCUCUGGCUGUCGAAAAGGAGAUUCCGAACAGCUGCCAUGCUCUCUGUCUUCAUCGUCUCUGCUGUUGUCCACGAGUACGCCCUGUCUAUGGGCUUUGGCUUCUUCUAUCCCGUCAUGUUCUGUCUCUUUGCCAUCAUUGGAGUGAUCUUCAACUUCACCAUGAAUGACAAGCGACAGAGCCCCGUGUUCAACGUCAUCAUGUGGAUGUGUCUCUUCCUCGGUCAGGGCGUUCAGGUGUGUCUGUACUGCCAGGAGUGGUAUGCCCAGAUACGCUGCCCUCGGACAGGGAAUAGUUUCUUGGAGUUGUUGACACCGCGAUCGUGGUUCUGCAGAUGAAAUGGUCUUCCUGCGAGGCUGGAAGAUGAAAGGACAGAGGUCUGAAAAUCUUGAGGGACUGAACAUAAGAGAACAAAGAAGGACAACUUGAAAGACAUAAAACUUUGUCACAGAAGACAGGUCAAAUCAGUGACAACUUCAAACAGACUUUGCCACAGAAAGGGCACCUGGCCUACACUGUGUGUUGCAUGUUUAAUCUCGCCUUGGUUGACAUUCAGCUGGCAGUGAUUGGUUGGGAGAGCAGGUACGUCAACCAACCAAAGACAGGCAACACAGCAUCUUAUCAGCCUGCCACAAAGCCUCUGUCUGUCUGGCUGCCACAUCCCACUGAAGUCAUACAGGAAGAAGAGGAUUAACAUUGGUACAGUGUUUGCAUUAGUGAUGUAAUGCUCUGUAAACUGAUAUACUGUAAUUCCACUGCAGCUUAGAGAGGCACAGCACAGUUUUAGAGAUGCAUGUAUUUGUCUAAUUCUGACAUAUAGUCUUAGUUUUUCACUGUCUUUUUCUUUUUGACAUUGUUUGACAUCCUUUUUAUCUGUUCAGCUUUCUUUUGACAUGAAAGGAACUGUCACAUACACAUUUUAUUUUUUUUUAUGGAUGCAGUUGUCCGUGUCAACCAUUAACAAGCCAACUUUUCCAUCCUCUUCACAUUGCUGCAACAAUUUCAAAUGACAUGUUUGCUGCAUGGAUACAAAGGGCGGGCGGAAGUCAAAAUAUAUUAUUUGGCCUCUCAGGGGACAGGGGAACAAGCUGUAAGUCAACAGUGACAUGAAUCACCAUGUGAAGUUGUCACAUUAUGUUACCUUUUUCACAUCCUGUAGAAAAGGAACAUCGUUAUUCGGUUCUGUUUCUGGGGAUCUGACAAAUCUCAUGUCCAGUAUUCAUCUCUUCUCUGGUCUCCACCAACCACUAAGAGGGACAUCUAGCUUCUUGGCUGCUAAAUCCUCCACUGAGUCCACCAGCUAGUCACCAACUUGGUCUGUCUGCUGUGUGGUGCUGGGUAGGAAGCACACAGUGGUUUCCUUUCUACCAACAGCCUGCCUGCUGUGGCUGAUGAACUAUAAUGUAAAAAUACUUUAAUUUAGCAUUGCAUAUAUUUAAUUGGUUUACAGUUGUACCGGAAUCAGAUUUCAGCUACAGUAUGAAAUGGAAGUGAAUCAUCCAACAAGAAGACAGGGAGGUUUUUUCCGUCAUUUGUUAAUUGAGUUUUACCAGUGAUGUACUCUAAAUGAGAUGACAGAUGGACCGUAAAUGAUUCAAAUGAAAGCUCAACCAUCAGGCAUAUGCAGCUUCCUUUCUCACCCAGAAGUGACACUUCAAACCAAUUUUUGCUUUUUGUGUGUUAUUUCAUCAGGAACUUCUCAACUCAUCAUGAGCUACAUAAAAUGCACUAUUAUUUGAACUGAAUGAGUACAUCUUACUUAAAAAAGACUGCAAAAAAAGUGCUGAGUUUUAACUGAAGCUGAAAUACAAACCUCUGCUUGGCUGGUACAAAUGCGGAAACUGCAGCAACCACAAGAAAUGCUUUGGAUUUUUCAUAUGAUAUAGAUGGAAAAUAUGCUCAACUAGCAGACAGAAUGGAUUAUUUCUCUCCACGCAGAAUGCCCUACAAUACCUCAGUUGUCUCCAGAGGCCUCUGAUAUGAAUAUUUCCAGGUUCUCUGCUGAAAACAGACUUUUGUCAUAGCAGUA